AGCUCCUUGUGCAACACACAUUAUUGUGACUCCAAACAUUCAACAUCUCAAAUAUUGAAUAAAGAAAUUCUAAUAAUUUUUCUUUUCUUUUACUAAAAAAAAAAAUAUCUCAUUUUUCUUCAUAAAUAAAAAAUUUUCCAACCAAAUUACGCGUAAAAGUGUCGAGUGAUUAAACGAAAGAGACAAGGAUUAUAAAAAAAAUGACGGUUUUAACAUUCGUACUGUCAUUUAUUUGUCUGAUGAGUGUACUUUCAAAUGGUUCAACAUUACCGGCAAAUAAAGAAGCAAAAAAAAAUUUCGAAUCAGAAGAAUAUACAAGAGGCUCAGAAGAGGAUAGUAAAAUUGAAAUGGAUUCAUUGGAAGAUAAAAAAUUAUUAAAAUCACAAGAAACAGAUAAAAUAAGUCGAUCAAAGCGUUGGUUGGUCCAAUCGACAUCGACGACAAGUCAAAAUCCAGAAUUUGUUUAUAAACCAUGGCUUUUUGCUGUUUAAUUUUUGUCACAAUGACGCAAAUGGAAAAAAAUAUAUUGUUUUACAUAAAUAAUUUUGUCAGUUUUUAUAGGAAAUAUUUUAAAAGGAACAAAAUUUAAUUUUUAUAUUUUUUUAAUUUUAAAGUUGUUUUACAAUCAUAAAGAAAAAUAUCGAAGGCUAUAUAAUUUCUAUAUCUGUAGUGUAUAUAUGAUAAAAUAAUUUAUUUGU